AGACGGAGUGUGUCUGUGUUACAGGCGUGUGGGUCCCGAGAGACGUCAAAGAUGCAAAUACACAACUCGGAGCCCAUCUUCACCAAGGCAUUGUCUUCAUUCCACUGUAAAGAGGAGUUCAUGGCUGCUUGCUGUGUCAUGGCAUUUCAACACCAUCAGAAAAUCAUUACAGAUCCAAGAGGAACAAAGAUAGACAUGUCAGAUAGAUGAUGAAAGGAACAGAUGGUGUGUAGUGGAUCUGAUGUCCGCUCCAGUGAGCCUGCUGUCAUAUCGCUUGCACCUUCUCAUAUCCGAUGGUAUUCGGACGUGUCGCCUGCACACCGGACCACGAUCACUGCCAGAGGAGUAACAGGGUGCAAAGUGCAUCUCAUCAGAAAUGUAUAAAAUAACACUAUACGCUGCUGAGUUUAAUCUUUUGGUGGGUAAGAUGGAUUCCUCUGAAUUAGCUUGAUGCUUGUUGCAUCAGUGGUGUGUAAAAUUAAAAAAAAAAAAAGGUGAUGAAAAGCAUUUUUGCGAAACUUUUGUGUCUUGCAGGCUCCAUUCUUGGCAAAUGAAUAGCAUGUUAGCUGUGGUUUUGUAGAGGUCCCUGAAGUGAAGUACUGUACUGUAUGUAGUUUCACUAUGGUAAAAUAGGCCUACUUUGUCCUAUUUAUUUUGUACAUGUAUCUUUCUCAAAAAAUGUUGACUUCUGACUAAAUCAUGAAGUUUUGAGAUCAGUUCUUUUGAAAUAUGAUAAACUUUAAAGAAACAUAUAUAUAUAUAUAUAUGUAUAUGUUCAUUUGAACUUUCUUAAAUUAUUUAAUUUAAAAUUGUACCUUUUAUAUAGGACAUAUUGAAUAUUUGAACUUAUAUUUAUCAAAAGAAGAUCAUUCUACAUUUAAAUCUGAAUUUGAAAGUAAACAACUUGGGAACAACAAUAAAAUUCAGCUAUUUAUGAAAAAAAAGUAAAAUAAUACACCAAGAAAACACCAAAACAACAAUCAAUAAAACUAUAAUCAUUUACAAGUGAUUUUAGGCAUCAUGACAUUUUAAUCUUCAGUAUGAAAAUGGAUAUUCAUUUUAAGAUAAUAAAUACUGUAUUUGUAAUUAGCAUGCGUGAUUAAAUAUCGGAUCAAUUAGAAUGAUACUGUUAUAUUAAAUAAGUUCUAUUAGCUGAUAACCACAACGAUAACAAUAUUUUGUGCAUCCCUACUCAAUAUUGUACACAUUGUAGGUUGUUUUGUCAGUUCUAUUGUGUGCAGCUGAUUUAUAGCAAUGUCAAUCCUCCAGAUCUGUUGUAAUGCACGAGACAGCUCGUCGUUACAUAUCUGCAUGCCAUGAAUCUGCAGCCUGUCCUUAAGCACUGAGAGACAGGGGGUCUGCUGAUCUGACAAUCACACACAAACACACACAUAUGCAUGAUAUCAAACAUGCUCCAAACUGGCAGAGGGAGAGCAGCCAGCAAUAAUAGCAACAGCUCUUCAAUUGUUCAGUCAAUUAAACAAUUCAAUCAUGUCCCACUGACUCGAUAGAUUUCAUUUCUGAUGAAAAGGGAUUAUUUCAACAUUUCGUUUGGUUGAGAUGUCUCUUGAGUGGACCUCAUGAUGACAGACCGAUGUGUGCAGUGGAGAUAAACAAAUGCAUUUGGCUGCUCAUGACCUCUUCAUGUCAAUUCACACAGCACACUGCUGGAUUUCAU